rnacentral:rRNA from 1 species
UACGUAGGUGGCAAGCGUUAUCCGGAAUUAUUGGGCGUAAAGGGCGCGCAGGCGGUUUCUUACGUCUGAUGUGAAAGCCCACGGCUCAACCGUGGAGGGUCAUUGGAAACUGGGGAACUUGAGUGCAGAAGAGAAAAGCGGAAUUCCACGUGUAGCGGUGAAAUGCGUAGAGAUGUGGAGGAACACCAGUGGCGAAGGCGGCUUUUUGGUCUGUAACUGACGCUGAGGCGCGAAAGCGUGGGGAGCAAACAGG